rnacentral:rRNA from 1 species
GAUGAACGCUAGCGGCAGGCCUAAUACAUGCAAGUCGAACGAGAUUAAGGGGCUUGCUCCUUAUGAGAGUGGCGCACGGGUGCGUAACGCGUAUGCAACCUACCUCAAUCAGGGGGAUAGCCCGAAGAAAUUCGGAUUAACACCGCAUAAAAACACAGGAUAGCAUUAUCUAAUGUUCAAAUAUUUAUAGGAUUGAGAUG